AUUGAACGCUGGCGGCAGGCUUAACACAUGCAAGUCGAGCGGGCGAGGUUGCUUCGGUAACUUAGCUAGCGGCGGACGGGUGAGUAAUGCUUAGGAAUCUGCCUAUUAGUGGGGGACAACAUUUCGAAAGGGAUGCUAAUACCGCAUACGUCCUACGGGAGAAAGCAGGGGCUCUUUAUGACCAUGCGCUAAUAGAUGAGCAUAAGUCGGAUUAGCAGGUUGGUGGGGUAAAGGGCUACCAAGGCGACGAUCUGUAGCGGGUCUGAGAGGAUGAUCCGCCACACUUGGACUGGGACACGGCCCAGACUCCUACGGGAGGCAGCAGUGGGGAAGAUUGGACAAUGGGGGGAACCCUGAUCCAGCCAUGCCGCGUGUGUGAAGAAGGCCUUUUGGUUGUAAAGCACUUUAAGCGAGGAGGAGGCUUACCUAGUUAAUACCUGGGAUAAGUGGACGUUACUCGCAGAAUAAGCACCGGCUAACUCUGUGCCAGCCGCCGCCGUAAAAC
rnacentral:rRNA from 1 species